UGCAAUCAAACCCAGGGCUAAGGAAGAAUGAAUUCUAAACUAUUUCUUCUAAAAUCCUAAGGCAAAAAACAUUGAUCUUCUUGAACAUAAGAGGUCCAGAAAGAUCUCACAGAAUGUCCUUCAAACUCAGGGCUUUAUCAUUAAGUGACAAAAUUUUCAAACGCUUUGCAGAUGAACUCCUGCCAGGGAUGCUGCUUUCUUUAAUUCUUUUUAUAUUAACAUUUUUCUUGACUAAAAAGAUGGAACAGGACCUAGUGAUUUCCUUAUACACUUAUUCUUAAAGAAAGUAAACCUGAAAACUGGAAAUCAAAAGGUGUAAAGCUGAUUAAUAUGUUGUCUCCCAUUGGGUAAAACAACAAUCUGGUUGGAGAUAAAGUAAUACUAGGUUUCCUUAUUAUCAACAAUGCUGCCCUGAAAAUGUGUUUGCAUAUGAGACAGUUUCCCUGUAUGAAGAAGUGAAUUACUUAGUCAUAGAUUCCAAAGGAAGGCCUGUGAGACCAAGCAAUAUGCCUCUGAGAAGACAAUGAUCAAAGCAAGACAAAUAAAGCUGAAGUGCAUUUAGUUUACCCUGGGGGAUACAGGAGAAGCAUGAAAUACAAUGAACACACCACCACCUUAAAGGUUUCACUUCUGGCAAGAAUCUAAUAACAUUUUCAACCGAGUUCUAAUGUUGGAUUUUUCAGAUCAUACUGCAAAUAUGCAGCUCAGCCCUUACCUGAGGAUCUACAGGGCACACUCACAGAGGCCUCCUACUUCAACAGAUUCCAGCUGUUUCAGAGGAAUGAACUCUGAUAUCAACACCUCAACCCAGCAAGACCUCCCUGAUAUGCCAGGGAACACCAAUAUGAUCAACAGCAAUCUUCUCAUCUAAAAAACACAGAGAACAAAUCACAACCAAACAAUAUUCAAAGUAAUCAAAGAAAAAGUCCAAUCAAGAAUUUCUAUUCUGAAAUGGUCGUUCAGAUGUGAAUGGUGGCAACAGCGUGUUCAAGGCCAGCCUGAACUACAUUGUGAGACCUGGUGUCAAAAAAACCAA